GGAUGCAGCAGUGGGGAAUUUUGGACAAUGGGCGAAAGCCUGAUCCAGCAAUGCCGCGUGUGUGAAGAAGGCCUUCGGGUUGUAAAGCACUUUUGUCCGGAAAGAAAUCCUUGGCUCUAAUACAGUCGGGGGAUGACGGUACCGGAAGAAUAAGCACCGGCUAACUACGUGCCAGCAGCCGCGGUAAUACGUAGGGUGCGAGCGUUAAUCGGAAUUACUGGGCGUAAAGCGUGCGCAGGCGGUUUGCUAAGACCGAUGUGAAAUCCCCGGGCUCAACCUGGGAACUGCAUUGGUGACUGGCAGGCUAGAGUAUGGCAGAGGGGGGUAGAAUUCCACGUGUAGCAGUGAAAUGCGUAGAGAUGUGGAGGAAUACCGAUGGCGAAGGCAGCCCCCUGGGCCAAUACUGACGCUCAUGCACGAAAGCGUGGGGAGCAAACAGGAUUAGAUACCCUGGUAGUCCACGCCCUAAACGAUGUCAACUAGUUGUUGGGGAUUCAUUUCCUUAGUAACGUAGCUAACGCGUGAAGUUGACCGCCUGGGGAGUACGGUCGCAAGAUUAAAACUCAAAGGAAUUGACGGGGACCCGCACAAGCGGUGGAUGAUGUGGAUUAAUUCGAUGCAACGCGAAAAACCUUACCUACCCUUGACAUGGUCGGAAUCCCGCUGAGAGGUGGGAGUGCUCGAAAGAGAACCGGCGCACAGGUGCUGCAUGGCUGUCGUCAGCUCGUGUCGUGAGAUGUUGGGUUAAGUCCCGCAACGAGCGCAACCCUUGUCCUUAGUUGCUACGCAAGAGCACUCUAAGGAGACUGCCGGUGACAAACCGGAGGAAGGUGGGGAUGACGUCAAGUCCUCAUGGCCCUUAUGGGUAGGGCUUCACACGUCAUACAAUGGUCGGAACAGAGGGUUGCCAACCCGCGAGGGGGAGCUAAUCCCAGAAAACCGAUCGUAGUCCGGAUUGCACUCUGCAACUCGAGUGCAUGAAGCUGGAAUCGCUAGUAAUCGCGGAUCUGCAUGCCGCGGUGAAUUUUUACCGGGCCUUGUACACACCGC
rnacentral:rRNA from 1 species